CUGACUGCGGCCAUAACAGUGCCAUUUCUAACUGAAAACCUGCUUGGUGUAGAACACUAAAAAGUGAUUAUUAUGGUGUUAUAUACAUGAGUAUAUAUGGACAGAGAUCUAUACGUAUUUAUAUUUGUGAGCCUGUGUAUCUAGAAAUAUAAUUAUCCAAACAUACAUAAGCCUCUUCUCCUCCUCUAGGAGACUCCAGCCUGCCUGAGUGUGGCCAGCUAAGAAGGUAUUUAAGUUUUUGCUUAAUUCACCGGCAUCUGGCUGAGGAUCCAGUAGACCUGAAGGCCGAGGGUGAGCCUCUUCACUACAGAGAAGAAACAUGCACUGGGUUCCUUCUGCCAACCAGAAACUGAGCAUCAAGCCACUUGUGGUGUUCCAGUCCUUAUGAUGUGCUGUUUGCCAGUGACAGAGCAUGUCUCACGAUGCAUGAGCAAUCCCAAACACUCAGGAGUUGAGAUCUCCUGA
rnacentral:lncRNA from 1 species